CGUCCUCAGUUUAUUUAAAAAUACACUUUAUUUUCCAUUCUGUUUCUGUUUAAUUUCUUCUGAUAGAGCUAAAAAAAAAAAAGAAACAACAACAACAAAAAGCACUCUCCUUAUUCUAAAAACUGAAGUUGGUAUAUAGCUUUACAAAGAAAAAGAAGGGGUGGGAGUGAAAAGUAUAGGUCACGACAGCCCCCUGCAACCACCACGCUCCCUCGCAUGCACGAGGCCUAACCAACGUUCGUCAAGUCAGUGAGCACGUUGGCAUUUGGAGUUUAGGAUGAAACAGAGCUUUAGUCUUAAGCGGGAUGACAAUGUUUGGCAUAUUAGGAAGUUCUAUCAUUUUUCUUUCUCUUUUUGCUGAUCAAUAUUUUUUCUCCACUAGAUAAUUCCAUGGGGACAGGAGGAUUAUGGGCAUGCGUUUGGGAGCGUAGAAGAUGGGGGUUCGAAUCCCUCCUCCCCCUUGGCAGCUGAGUGAGUUUGGAUAUGAGUCAUUCUUCCUUGCAGAAGAAAUAUGAAUUCCCACAGCGAGUCCACGUGCUCACUUAUGGCCUGUCUGUAAAGGACGCACCCAGCCCGACGCCCGCAGCGAAGCACCUCUCGGUAAGUAGCAGUUACGACCGCGAACGAUGACUACGAAUGAGAGGCUGAAUGGUCACUGGGCCUGUUUUUCUAAAAAGGUUUUUCAGCAGACAAUCACAACCAUGAAAACGCCCAAAAUGGCUCCAUGAAUGGAACGAUAAAAAGACCAAAGAGAUGGACACUAGCACAAAAACUUACGAGCCAAAAGGGACAGUGGCCUGCCGAGCCCUGGGCACAAUUAUUGAGAAUUGCUAUUGGUCCACGUGUCUCCAUCCCCCCGGCCUCCACCCUAGACCUGGCCACCUCUUCUCUCCCCUGGAUUCCCUGAAGCACCCUCAGUCUGGCCUUCCCACUCCUGUUGCCCACUCUCCAUGCCAUAGCCAAAGCGAUCUUUUAUAAAGGCAAGAUUGUGCCACUGCAUUCCAACCUGAGCGACAGCAAGACCCAGCCUCUAAAAAAAAAAAAAAGAAAAAAAAAAAACAAAAACAAAAAUAAAAAAGGACAAACAAGUACUGAGGAUGCAGAGCAUCCGGAACUCCCUUGCAGGGCUGUGGGAGCAUCAGCUGGAACCGCUGCUUUGGAAAACGGCGAGGUAUCAUUUCUUAGAGCCGAAACUGUAUGAACCCACAACCCAGCAAUCCUGCUCCCAGCAUACUCUCAACAGGAGUGUUCCCAGACGUUCCCCAAGAGACCUUCACAAGACCACCAGAUAGAGCAGCACUGCUCCCAGUCACCCCAAACACCCACAGACCAGCAGCAGCAGCCUGGGCAGGCCACGUGUGGUGGACUCCCAAGUGCAAGAGGACUCGGCAGUGACGGUGAGUGAACUAGAACUGCACAGAGCAGCACGGAGGAAUCUCGGGAGCAGAGGGCUUGCGGGAAAGGAGUCGGGCACACAAGGAUAAGCUCUGCAACGGCAUUGAUGUUGACAUCAAAACCAGGCAAAACUGCUCUAUGGUGUUGGAGGCAAAGGAGCGGCUCAGGGGCGGGGAGUGGGGUGCCCUGAAGAGCUCCUGCACGUUGUCCUUGGUGGGGGGGUGGGGGGGUUGCAAUCUUUUCCUUUAUCUUAGUGCUAGUCACAUGAGUGAGUUCACAUUGUGAAAAUACGCUGAGCUCCUAAGGAGUGAAUUGUGCUUCCCCCCCAGUUGAUAUGUUAAAACUCUCACCCGCAAUGGAACUGUAUUUGGAGAAAGGGCCUUUAAGGGGGAAACUGAGGUUAAACUACGGCCCCAUGGGACCCUGAUCAGAUAGGACUGUGUUCUUAUAAGAAGAGGAAGAGACACCAGAGAUCUCUCUCUCUCUCUCUCUGUCCGUGCACAGAGAAGAGGCCAAGUGAAGACCCAAGGAGGAGGUGGCCAUCUAGAAGCCAGGGAGACAGGCCUCAGCAGGAACCAGGCUUGGCAGCGCCCUGACCUCAGACUUCCAGCCUUUAGAGCUGUAAGACAACACAUUCAUGCUGUUGAAGCCUAGUCAGUGACACUUUUUCUUUUCUUUUCUUUUCUUUUUUUUAGAUGGAGGCUCACUCUGUCACCCAGGCUGGAGUGCAGUGGCGCGAUCUCGGUUCAUGGCAACCUCCGCUUCCCGAGUUUGGACGAUUCUCCUGCCUCAGCCUCCUGAGUAGCUGGGACUUGAGGCAUGCGUCACCACACCUGGCUAAUUUUUUGUUUUGUUUUGUUUUGUUUUGUUUUGUUUUAGUGGAGACGGGGUUUCACCAUGUUGGCCAGGCUGGUCUCAAACUCCUGGCCUCAGGUGAUCCCCCUGCCUCUGCCUUGGCCUCCCAAAGUGCUGGGAUUACAAGUGUAAGUCACCACGCCCAGCUGACACUUUGUUAUGGCAGCCCUCGAUGACCAAUAAUGUAUGCCUGGGACAUGUGUGCUUUUCUCUAUGUAUGAUAGAUUCAAUCAAAACCUCCUUUUUUAAAAAAAAGGCAAGCCUGGUGUGGCCCUGCUGUUUGCAAUCUUCCCCUAGCUUCUUGUCUUCUCUUAAGAUCAAGUCCAAAUUUGCAACGUGAUCUUGAAGGCCAGUAUGAUCUGGCCCCUGUUGGCCUCUCUAGCCUUGGCCACUGCUGUGGCUACACUGACCUCAUUUCAGUUGCUUGAACAUGCCAGGCACUUCCUGCCUCAGGACUUUUGCACUGCUGGCCUCUCUGCCUAACACACUUUCUCCAUGUUUUUGCCCGGCAAGUUUCUACUCAUCCUUCAGGUCCCGGAUUAAAUGUGGUUUUUUGUUAGGGAGGUUUUCCUGAUCCCACAUUGGGUCAGAUCCCUCUGGUGUAAAUUCUCAAAGCACCUGCCCUUUUCCUUCAUUGCGCCCCUCUCAGUUGGAAAUAAAUGAAAUAUUGUUGCCUAUUGUCUGCCUUCCCCACUACACAGUGAACUUUCUGAGGGCAUGGUUGGUCUUGUUGUCCAGUGGGACCGCCCUGCUCACUGUGAAUGAAAGGAUGGAUGGAUGAAAAAGCAAAUGAAUGGAUGGACGUGUGGAUGAAUAGAUGAAAUAAUAAUAGAUGUAUGGAUGGAUGAAUAGAUGGGCAAAUGGAUGGAUGAAUGUGUGGACGAAUAGAUAGAUGAAAGAAUGGAUGGAUGGAUGGAUGGAAUAAUGGAUGGAUGGAUGGAUGGAUGAAGGAAAGGACGGAUAGAUGGAAUAAUGGAUGGAUAGAUAGAUGGAACAAUGGAUGGAUGGAUGACUAGACAAAGGGGAUGGAUGAAUGUGUGAAUGAAUAGAUUGCCAGAUGAAUGAAUGGAUAGAUAGAUACAACAAUGGAUGGAUAGAUAGAUGGAACAAUGGAUGGAUGGAUGGAUGAAAGAAUGGAUGAGUGAAUAGAUGUACAAAUGGAUAGAUGAAUUUGUGGACAAAUAGAUAGAUGAAUGAAUGGAUAGAUGGAUGGAGUAAUGGGUGGAUGGAUGGAUGAAUGGAUGAAGGAAAGGAUGGAUAGAUGGAAUAAUGGAUGGAUGGAUGGAUGAAGGAAAGGAUGGAUAGAUGGAAUAACGGAUGGAUAGAUAGAUGGAACAAUGGAUGGAUGGAUGGGUGAAAGGAUGGAUGGAUGAAUAGAUGGACAAAUGGAUGGAUGAAUGUGUGAAUGAAUAGAUAGAUUGCUGGAUGGAUGAAUGGAUAGAUAGAUACAACAAUGGAUGGAUAGAUAGAUGGAACAAUGGAUGGAUGGAUGGAUGAAAGAAUGGAUGAGUGAAUAGAUGGACAAAUGGAUAUGUGGAUGUCUGCAUGAAUAGACAGAUUGAUAGAUGAAUGAAUGGUUAGAUCCAACAAUGGAUGGAUAGAUAGAUGGAACAAUGGAUGGAUGGAUGGAUGGAUGGAAAGAUGGAUGGAUGGAUGGAUAGAUGGGUGGAUGAAUAGAUGGAAAAAUGGAUGAAUGGCUGGUUGGUUGGAUGAAUGGAUGGAGGAAUGAACUUAUGGAAAAAUGGCUGGAUUGGUGGCUAUCAAUUCUCAGUAAAUAGAUCUUCCACAAGUAACAAUUCUUAUUUACAACGACUUUGCUAUUACAGCCAUCUAUUGAUCCUUUGAGGUGCGUGGAUGCUGCAAGAAUGAGUCAACACUCAGCACUCUGCAGAUUUUCAGGGGAUGAUCUAAGAAUACACUUCCAAGCUUUCAUCGAUGAGGCAAAUAGUGGACCUCUUCAAAUAUUUAUGUUCUUAAACUGCUAAUGUUUGGAAACACCUAGAAAAUACUCCUAACUGAGAUGCUUCAUCUUAGAAUCCCUACAUGAGGCCUUCCAGCUAUAUAGAAGUUGUAGAGGUGGGGGGUUGUGGGAGAGUGGAAUUUAUUGAAAAUGGAUGAAGGAUAUGUCCCCAGUACCAGAGUGGGUGAUGUGAAAAGAUUCUGGUCUGAGUACCUGGGUGUGUGGGAAGCUGGCACAUACUGGCAGCAUGGCUGCUGUGGGUACCAGAAGCCCAAAGGGUGCUCCUGUGUGAGCUGCAAGGUCAGACAGGCAGAGAUGGGGUAGGUCCUAAACUCACCUGGCUGACAGGCACUAAAUGUCCUGACACCCACUUAACUGCUGAAGGACACUUCCCAUCCUUCCCUCCCCUGCUCACUCCAGCCAAACUCCAUGUCUCUGAGUUCCUCCACCCUGCUCUCCACUCCCCGACCCCAGGCCAUUGCACACGCUGUUCCCUCUGCCUCGACACCCUUCCUGCACCUUUCUGCCUAACUCCUACUCAUUCUGCAUGUUGUGAGAGUAAAGGUCACUCCCUCCAGGAGGCCCUCCUGUACUCUUCUACAUAUCAUGUCAGACUCUCCCCCAACCAAAUCAUGGCACUGGGCACAUCCCUUGUAUAUUCUAUCUGCAUUCACAGAGCAGUGUAGACAUCUGUUCAGGCACUGGGUGUGCAGUAGUGAGCGAGACAGGCAGUCCCUGCCCCAGGGAGCACACAUGGUUGUGGAGGAAACAGUAGCCACUAUAAAUAUGUGGUAAGUCUUAUGGACAACAGAGAAGGGGAGGAGAAUCCUCAGAAGAUGUGGGAGGUUGAGGAAGGCAUCUCUGAGGCUGUGCCAAGUGAGAUGGGCUGUGCCCCUCUCCAGAGGAGCACAUCCCAGGCAGGAGGAAUAGCAGGGACCAGGACCCCUGGUGGGAGCGGGGGCUUUGAGUGUUUGAGGGACAGUGAUGAGGCUACUGAUUCCAUUGCUGUUUGAGUCACUGUCUGUCCAUCUCUCCCAUGAUGCCCCAGGCCUCUCUGCAGCCCCUGUCUUUGUGCAGCUUCCUGUAUACCACUGAGCCCCUCAUCUGCCUAGGAUGCAAGCCCUCAGGCCUUGCUAUGGUUAGUCCCUCAAGCCUCAUGUUUAAAUGUGAUCCCCAGUGUUGCAGGUGGGGUCUAAUGGGAGGUGUCCCGGUCACAGGAGUGGAUUCCUCAUGAAUAUAUCUGUGCCCUCCCUAGGGGUGAGGGAGCUUUCACUCUAGUCAUUUCCACAAGAGCCACUGGUUGUUAAAAAGAGCCAGUACUGGGUAUCUACC
rnacentral:lncRNA from 1 species